UACGGGGGGGGCAAGCGUUGUUCGGAAUUACUGGGCGUAAAGGGCUCGUGAGGCGGCCAACUAAGUCAGACGUGAAAUCCCUCGGCUUAACCGGGGGAACUGCAUCUGAUACUGGAUGGCUUGAGAUUGGGAGAGGGAUGCGGGAAUUCCAGGUGUAGCGGUGAAAUGCGUAGAUAUCUGGAGGAACACCGGUGGCGAAGGCGGCAUCCUGGACCAACACUGACGCUGAGGAGCGAAAGCCAGGGGA
rnacentral:rRNA from 1 species